rnacentral:rRNA from 1 species
GAUGAACGCUGGCGGCGUGCCUAAUACAUGCCAGUCGAGCGAACGGACGAGAAGCUUGCUUCUCUGAUGUUAGUGGCGGACGGGUGAGUAACACGUGGAUAACCUACCUAUAAGACUGGGAUAACUUCGGGAAACCGGAGCUAAUACCGGAUAAUAUUUUGAACCGCAUGGUUCAAAAGUGAAAGACGGUCUUGCUGUCACUUAUAGAUGGAUCCGCGCUGCAUUAGCUAGUUGGUAAGGUAACGGCUUACCAAGGCAACGAUGCAUAGCCGACCUGGGAGGGUGAUCGGCCAAACUGGAACUGAGACGCGGUCCAGACUCCUACGGGAGGCAGCAGUAGGGAAUCUUCCGCAAUGGGCGAAAGCCUGACGGAGCAACGCCGCGUGAGUGAUGAAGGUCUUCGGAUCGUAAAACUCUGUUAUGAGGGAAGAACAUAUGUGUAAGUAACUGUGCACAUCUUGACGGUACCUAAUCAGAAAGCCACGGCUAACUACGUG